rnacentral:rRNA from 1 species
CCUACGGGUGGCAGCAGUGAGGAAUAUUGGUCAAUGGGCGAGAGCCUGAACCAGCCAAGUCGCGUGAGGGAGUACUGCCCUAUGGGUUGUAAACCUCUUUUGUCGGGGAGCAAAAGCCGGACGUGUCCGGCUGUGAGAGUACCCGAAGAAAAAGCAUCGGCUAACUCCGUGCCAGCAGCCGCGGGAAUACGGAGGAUGCGAGCGUUAUCCGGAUGUAUUGGGUUUAAAGGGUGCGCAGGCGGAUUUUUAAGUCAGCGGUAAAAUCGUGGGGCUCAACCCCAUCCAGCCGGUGAAACUGGGGAUCUAGAGUGUGCGAGAGGUAUGCGGAAUGCGUGGUGUAGCGGUGAAAUGCAUAGAUAUCACGCAGAACCCCGAUUGCGAAGGCAGCAUACCGGUGCACAACUGACGCUCAGGCACGAAAGCGUGGGUAUCGAACAGGAUUAGAUACCCCUGUAGUC